AUGAAUAUUCAGGGCUGAUCUCCUUCAGAAUGGACUGGUUGGAUUUCCUUGCUGUCCGAGGGACUCUCAAGAGUCUUCUCCAGCGACACAGUUCAAAAGCAUCAAUUCUUUGGUGCUCUGCCUCCUUCAUGGGUUUAUCAUACAUGGCUUUUAUUAUUUUGAGGUAGAUUUCCUUUCUGGAGGAACUGUUAUCAUAAACUUUCUGGAGAAUUUUAUCAUAAAUGCAUGUUGAAUUUUAUCAAAAGACUUUUCUGCUUUUAUUGCGAUGAUCAUAUAGUUUUUAUUCUUCAGUUUGUUAAUGUGUAUCAUGCUGAUUGGUGAAUAUUGAAAAAAUCCUUGCAUCCCUGGGAUAAAUCCCACUUGAUAUUUGUGGUAGACCCUUUUAAUGUACUCUUGGAUUCAGUUUGCUGGUUUUUUUUUUUUGAGGACUUUUGCGUCUAUUUGUAAGUGAUAUUGGCCUGUAAUUUUUUUCCUAUGUGAUAUUUUUAUCUGAUCUUGAUAUCAACGUGAUGGUGGCCUCAUAGAGUGAGUAUGAAAGUAUUUUUUCCUCUGCAAUUUUCUGGAAUAGUUUCGCAAGGAUAGCUGUUAACUUUUCUAUAGAUGUUUGAUAGAACUCACCUGUGAAGCCAUCUGGUCCUGGACUUCUGUUUGUUGGGAGUUUUUAAAUUACACAUUCAGUUUCAGUUCUUGUAAUUGAUCUGUUCAUAUCUUCUGUGUCUUCCUAGUUCAGUCUUGGAAGAUUAUACCUUUCUAAGAAUUUGUCCAUUUCUUUUCAGUGUCCAUUUUAUUGACAUCCAGUUCCUUGUAGUAGUAUCUUAUGGUCCUUUAUAUUUCUGUGGUGUCAGGAAUAAUUUUCAUUUUUAAUUUUAUUGAUUAGGGUCCUUUCCCUUUUUUUCUUUAUAAGUCUGGCUAAAGGUUUAUCAAUUGUAUAAUUUUUUUUCUCUUUUUUCCUGAGGUAAGCUUUUCUUAAUAUAAACUUCCGUCUUGGAAUUGCUUUUGCUGGAACCCAUAGGUUUUGCCCUGAGGCUCAUACAGUAUGGAAAGAGUUGCUGAAUUAUACCACCUACUUUCCUUUGGAUGGUGAAUAUCUCCAUUAAGUGUUUGGUGCUCAAGUUCCUCGGCUGUGUCCAACUCUUUGUGGUGCUGUGGACUAUAGUCCACCAGGCUCUGCUCUCUGUGGGAUUCUCCAGGCAAUACUGGAGUGGGUUGCCAUGCCCUUCUCCAAUCUCCAUCAAGACUUAAUUCUAUUAAUAACCAACAAAUACUUUCACGGAGUGACCUUGUUAGCUCCUAUUACCUAGUUUCAAUAUGUUUAGAUCCCAUAUUCUCAGUUACUGAUGACAUCCUCUGUAUUUUCCGGAUCGUAUUUGCUAUAUUCAAGAGAACACUGUAUCCUUUACCACCAUGCGUUUCUAGAAUUUAAUUUUAAUCCUGCCCAUUUCUACUAGCUAAAGAUAAUGUGGGAUAUUGAUGCAUCUGUCCUUUUUCAUUUUGAUAGAUUCCCUAAUAUAAAAACCAGUUAUGUACAUGAAAAAUACCACUGUUUCUACUUUGAUACCUAUUUCACUUGUAUAGCAUUCUUCUGAGUAGCCAUAUUUCAUUGAUAUAAUCAAUAGAGCAAAAGCUUAUUAAUUAAACUAAUUCAAUUUUUAUAGGCAUUUCAACAUUGAUUACACACCUAAUGAAUUUUCUGUUUAAUUCAAAUCAGUCUGACAUAUCUGAUUCUCUUAAAUGCUUUUAAGCACCGUAUGGAGCACAAUACACACAUAUUAAACUUAUUGAAAAUUGGAUUGGUUCAAUCAGGUCAAAAGUGCUAAUAAAUUUAAUAGUGUUUCUCUA